rnacentral:sRNA from 1 species
GUCGUAUCGAUUCGAUCGGGAUACUCAUCAAAUGAACACUGAAAACGGAGCAGUCUUCUUCUGCUAAUGGCGGGCCACAUCCCUGACGGGAAGUUGAAAAACCGGUGGAUUACAAAGGUAAAGAGCGCUCGAAUCUUAUAAAAAAGGAGUUUUCAUCACAUCCUCGAUGCGCCCCUU